rnacentral:rRNA from 1 species
GAUUAACGCUGGCGGCGUGCCUAACACAUGCAAGUCGAGCGGCAGCGAGUUUUACACUGAAUUCUGGAAGCUUCUAGUUGAAAGAGAAGAUUUAUUCAAGAAUUUUGUGUAAAAUGUCGGCGAGCGGCGGACGGCUGAGUAACGCGUGGGAACGUACCCCAAAGUGAGGGAUAACGCAUCGAAAGGUGUGCUAAUACCGCAUAUGGUCUUCGGAUUAAAGCCUUCGGGCGCUUUGGGAACGGCCUGCGUAAGAUUAGAUAGUUGGUGGGGUAAUGGCCUAACAAGCCGACAAUCUUUAACUGGUUUGAGAGGGGGAUAAGAAAGAAGGGAAAUGAGCCACGGUCCAGACUCCUACGGGAGGCAGCAGUGAGGAAUUUUCCAAAAUGGGAGAAAGCCUGAUGGAGAAACGCCGGGUGAAGGAUAAAGGCUUUCGGGUUGAAAACUGCUUUUAAAAGGGAGGAUUAUGGAAGUAAAUUAUGAAUAAGGAGCGGCUAAAUACGU